AGCCUGACAGGCGCUCCAGCUCGUCGGGCCGCAGCGGCUCCACCUCGUCCAGCAAGCCGCCCUCGCCCGCCGCUAGCAAGGAGGUGGCGUCCCGCAGCUCUUCGCUACUCGUCCGCCUCGGGCCCGACCCGGGCCCGCCGCCCGACUUGGCGCUGAGGCCCAAGGGGAAGCCCCGAGGAGACGCCGCGCCGGAGGAGGGAAUGGACGCGCCGGCCCGAACCGGGCUGCCGGGCCCAAGGGAGCCGGCGCCCUGCACGGCCCCCGAGCGGCUCCUCAGCUGUUCGUUCUGCUUCUCCAGCUUCUUCACCAGCUCCUGCAGCUUCCGCACCUCCUGGUCCGCGUUCACGUUGGAGUUAACGUCCUCCAUCCCGGCCCCGCCGCCGCCGCCGCCUCCGCCGCCCGCUCGCUCUCGCAGCGACAGGGAAAGAGACGGAGGAAAGAGGCGUCGCCGCCGCUCACUCUAGCCGAGGCGCCGGCAUAUAGCAGGACCAGGCCCCACCGCCAGGGUCCCCCCACCUCGGGUUCCAAAGCGCCGCUGGCCCCAGCCGAACUGCCUCAUCUGCGCCGGCUCCGGGAUUGGGGGAGGCGGCGCCAAUAUCCGGCCCCUGCCGCCAUCUUCCCUCCGUCCCUCCGCCCCCCGCGGGCCGGCCCAGUCGGUGACCUCAGAGCGUCGGGGGUGGACGCGGCCGCCGGCGGGCGCUGAGAGGACCCGGCGCCAGCUCGCGGCGGGGCGGGGCCACGGACGGGGCCUAUGGGGCGGGGCCGGUGCUUGAGGGGCGGGGAUUAGGCCGGAAGGGGCGUGUCGGCGGAUGUGGGACGCGGCCGGGCUGGCUAGGGAGGGUCCCUGCAGAACGGGAGGCCAGCAGAAGGCUCGCGGCGGGCGGGGCUGAGGUGGCUAACAAGGUCCUCGAACAGCCUCGCCUGUUGGUCUGGGCGUGUGGGCGUGUUCUCCACCCCUUACAGGGAGUGUGGGACCCGCGGGCCAGUCUCGCCCUUGUUCCGGGCCGGAUCUCGAGUGGGCGCUCAGCCCGGCGGUGGAGAGACAGUUUACUUUGUUCAGCAAAUAUUUAAUCGAUGCCGACUUUUAAUUGGAGAUUGUCUCGGCUGGCAGGAGCCUCUAGACUGCCUGUGUCCUGUUUCUUCCCCUGAAAAUAAGAAACCCCAGUUUCAGACAGUUAAGAGAGGUCUAAGGUCAAAAUAAUCAUAAUUUCUUGAGUGCUUCCUACUGGCCAGACAGUGUGCUAAGCACUUUUAAAGGCAUUAUCUCAUCGGUUAAAACAUAGUUUUCCCGACUUAAAGUUUACAGCACACUGGGGCGGAAGCGGGGGAUAGUAAACCGCUUCUCUACUCCCUUUCUCCGUUUAUUGACUCACACUCUGUUCUUUGGAUCACUUCCUUCGGAAAAAGUUCCUCGUAGUGUGUCUUGACUUUUUUAAAAGUUGUAUGUUAAAAGUAGUUAAACACGCUGACAGAUACUGAAGAAUGAAGAAAAUUGUAAGAAUGUGAAGUCUGCCUUUAGAAUGCGGCAGGAAACCUAAACAAAACUUAAAUGCUUUGUUUUGAUCACAUUAUCACAGUCGUUGGUCUUCAGAGGUCAAUUGUGAACGGCUUUGGCUUGUGUUUGCAGCUUUUCUUCAGUUGCCGCCUCCACCCUUAGUUUAAUAACAAUGAUCCAGUCCUGUUACACCUGAGUGUGGACUCAUGCCAUGACUGACUUGCUUCUACCCUUUAGCUUUUCUAGUGCCAUAUUCUCCGCCUGCCAUAUCUGAUUCUUUUCUUAAAUCCCAUACUCUCUCAUUCAGGAAACCUCUUCCCAACAAUUCCACAAAGAUCUAAUUAUUCUGCAUAUUCUAGCACUACGUGAUCAAUAGUUCUCAAUAGGUGUUUGCACUUUUUUUUAAAUUGCUUUUUUCUCUAAGAAUUAUUUUUCGUUUGUUUUUGUCUGUUUACUUGAUUUAAGGACACUUCAUUUUUGCUUCCCAUGUCUAGUACACUGACACAGUGGACACUCAAUACUUGGUUUGUUGAAAGUUAAGUAGACUAUAAGUUCUACUUAAAACCACGUAGCUAUUUAUUCGUAGCAAAAAACGUAUUUGUGUUAAAAGUUUGCUGGCUAACUAUAAGUCGAGUAUUUUUCUAGCUAUACAGACCUAGUCAAAGGAUGUGAUUGUUUGCUAACAUAAUUGUCAAGUAAUAUAUAUUAUCUGUGUAAUGCUCAUCUAAAUAUCAUUGCUCUUUCUGACCAGUCUGAACUUGUUGCCGGAGGGUUAAAAAUCAUGACUACUUCACGUGUAGCAGUUUUCACUUGCAUUCAAUGCUUUGUAAAAUAGAUUCCAACUAGUCAGUUUCUAUAAGGCGAACCCUUCAAAUAUACUCCUUGAAAAGAACAGUUCACCGGACAUUAUGAAGUUAGCACUAAUGUUUGUGGGGCAGGAAAAGCUGUUGUAGUGUGGAACAAUGAAUUAAGAAUCAGAAAGCCUGAUGUCGGGUUCUAGCUGUAGCAUAAAUGCACUUGACCUUGAUCGCUGCUCUCUAAUCUCUGGUCCUUAGUUUACUUUAGAAUGCGUGAGUUGGAGGAUCUCCAGUAUCUCUUCCAGGAUGAAAAAGUAAAGGAUUCUGGUGAGGCCUCAUGGUUGCAAAACAUGAGAGUGAAUAUACUUAGAUAUAUAGAGAAGUUCAUAGUGGAUAGAUAUACUUGGAUUUUUAAAUUCUAUUGCCUUACUCAAUGUCUUACCUUUUUCAUUCAAUAAAUAUUGAAUAUAUCUACUAUAUGGCAGGCACGAAUUUAGAUAUUUGGAUGUUUAAUAGGCCUCUUAAGUAUCAAACAACAUUCAGUUCAUACACACACAUACACACUACACAGCAUAUACACACGCUUAAAUCUGCUUGUCCUGUAGUCAUCACCAUUCCAAUAAAUGACAGCUCUUCUAAAUGCUCAGACCAAAAACCUUAGGAUAAUCCCUACUCCUCACUUUCUUUCACCCACCAAAUCCAAUCUUUAAGCAGGUCGUGCUGGCUCUACAUUCAAAAUAUGUCUAAUUACUUCCCAGCACCUCCACUGCUACGACUCUAAUUCAAGUUGCCAUCUUCUCUUGUCUAGAUUACAGUGGUACUCUUUUAAUGAGCUAUUCCACUUUGCUGCUUUACAGUCUCUUGUGUACAUGGCAACCAGAUGAUCUUUUGUGUAAGUCACAUCAGGUUACUCUCCUGCUCAGAAUCCUCAGAAGCAACUGGCUUCCCAACAUACUUCAAAGUCUUUUCCCUGGACUAUAGGGCUCUGGAUACUCGGCAACUUCUGCAAGUAUCUCAUUAACUAACACCUUCCCCAUCACUCUACCACACUGGCCUUCCUGAUUUUCUUCAAACAAGCCAAGCAUGUUUCUACUUUAGGAACUUUGCACUUGCUUUUCUGUCUAGGAUCUGGUUGUCAUUCACGUUAUCACAUGACUGACUCCCUCACUUCAUUCAGGUCUCUGCCCAAAUAGCACCUAAAUUCACUAUCCUCAUUAUGAUUCUCCAUAAAAUAGCAUCUGUGUCAUUCCCCAUCCUCUUAAUCCUGUUUCAUUUUUUCUCAGACACAUCUCUCUCUCUUUCUUUCCUUCCUUCCUUUUCUUUCUUUUUUUCUUCACUGCCUGUCUCUCACCAGUAGAGUGUGAACUGCAGGAGAACAGAGUUCACUGUUAUAUCUCCAGUGCUUAAAACAGUGCCUACAACAGUGCCUAGUACAUGGUAAGUGCUCAAUACAUGUUUUUUGAACGAGAGAGUUAAUGGAUUUACGCUAAGUGAAGUCUCCUAAAAGAGAAUUUCAGAUAAAUAUGGUUAUAUCUCAAAUCAUUGAAGUGGAAAUUUGUAAUUAUUUUGAAUGGUUGACUUUUAAAAUUAUAUUUUCUCCUUCCAAAAGAGCAACAUGUCAUACCAUAUAUGUCAUCCUCAAAACUAGGUCACUCUCUACCUCCUGAGAGCCAACAGCCCUUAAGAAUUGCUGAGGAGAGAGUUUUAAGUUCUCACUGAGAAGCAUAAGGACAAGAAUAUUUCCUUUCUAUCCUUAACCUUGCCAGGAUCUUCCUCUUUCAGGUUAGCUGUGAUACCCUGUCUUCUCUGGUGACUCAGAAGUGUUACAGCAUGUUUUUAAAAGUCACUCUAAGAGUGACUUUUAUAUAGCUACAAGGAGCAGAGCUAGUAGGUGUCUGAAGUAUGCAUCACAGUUAGCCCAACUAGUUUUUCAGGUGUUGUGUUUUAUGAUAAGCUUGGUUUGUUGCUGGAAGAAGGAUUUGUUUCUUUUCUAAGCAGGUGUGGCCCAUUUUCAUAACUUGCUCCUACAUGCAUGUUAGCUCUUAGUGAAACUCCUGACAAAGUGGAAAAUAUUACAAACCACUAAAAGUAUUUGGAAUGAAAAACUGUUACUCAAUGGCUUAAAGAUAUUUAGCCAUCCUAAAAUCCUAAAUCAAGGUGUGUGUGUGUGUGUCUAUAUAAGCACAUGCUAAAAAGUAGUUUAGAAAUUGCUAGACACAGAAAUAUUUGCAUUUCCUUAGAAAAUGCUCAGAUUCUUUGACAAAACCUUUGCUAUCCAAUCCAUCCAUUUUUUAACAUAACAGAUCAUUUCACUAGACAGUCCAUCCGUUUAAUCUUCAUAGGUACACAUGGUCAGUUAUUUUCUACUUACCCUCUUUCAUCUAUUCCUCACCAGCAUCCCUCCUCCAGAUGUGCCUCCCUUUGAUCUAUCAAACGGCCCCUUCUUCACUGUCUUGGUACAAUACAAUUUUACAAAGGAGUCCCAGGAACCUUAAAGGUUAAGUAUAUGAGAAAUUUUGAAUUGAACGCUUGGUGGCAAAAUGAAGGGGGGCUUUUUUAGGGAGAUUCUCUGUCUAGAGGGUGGUCCCCUAUCACACUGUUGGGGGCAUAUAUUAUAUAGAUGUAGGGGUGGGUAAGUCCGUGAUCAGAGCAAAGGGUGAACAGGUUCUUGAACUGUUAGGAAGCUACCCAAAAUGAAACAAUACCGUGUCUUCCACCCUUUUUCUGGCAGCAGAUGGGAAGAUAAGCUCUUAAAUAACAUUUAUUAUUUCUUUUUUUUUCUUUAAGUAGUAUAUCAGUAGGACAGUGAAGUUGGAAGAGUGGAAUAUGAACCACUUCUGAACGUGUUUGAUGUUCUACAGAAACUACUAUUCAAAGAUGGAAGAAAACUUGGAAUAAUCCAAAUAUUCAAGUCAAUAAGAUAAGUCCCAAUAAUCUGCCCUAGGAUUUAAAAUACAUUAUUCUGAGUAUUGACUUAGAGAUACAGUGGAGAGAGUAGAUUAUACAUAGAGACUUGUAUCAAGCAAAAGUAAAUUAAGCUGCCAUUGAGAUACUUAAAUAAUUAGUCUUCUAGGAAGCUGUAGAGAAUUCCAUUUCUGAGUCUUUGGAAAACUCCUGGAGUAUUACCCCGACUGACAUCAUCAACUAUUCAAUUUGCCCAAGUAUGUCUACAAAGUUACUUUCUAUUCAUCAUCCUUCUUAUGUAAACAGUUAUAUGUGCCCUGGAAGUUUAAUUCUAUAAAUAUCCAGUUCUCCAAAUUGGCCCAAUAAUAAUAGUAGCUAAUAGUUGUUAACCACUUUUAUGACAUGUGAUAAUUCAUUUAAAACUCACAAUAGUCUUUGGAGGUAGCUGCUAUUCUCAUCAUCAUCUCCAUUUUACAAAUGAAGAAACUGAGAUAUAGAGAGGUUAAAUAAUUUCCAAUACUAUAGCCAGGAAGUAGUGGAGCUAAAUUAGACCCAGCUGGUCUGACUUCAGAAUUGCACUUAGAAUCCCCUUUGGCCCAUGAGCAUGAUGAGUUCUCCAUUCUUUUACUUAAAAGAGUAUUGAUACGUAGUCAGCUACCAUCUGGGGUGGGGAUUGAGGGAUAAUGUUGAGAACUUAAGCAUCGCAUUUGCAAUACCAACAACACAAUCUUCCUCUAACAGCAAGUUUGCCAGAUUUGGUGUCUCAGCAACUCUGGAACCCAGCAUUGAAGCAAUCAGUUCUUUAGAGAGGGAGGUAGUUCGGCUGGAUAUCGUGGCUCACGCCUGUAAUUCUAGCACUUUGGGAGGCCAAGGAGGGGGUGGAUCACCUGAGGUCAGGAGUUCAAGACCAGCCUGGCCAACAUGGCAAAACCCCGUCUGUAUUAAAAAUACAAAAAUUAGCCAGGCAUGGUGGCGGGUGCCUGUAAUCCCAGCUACUUGGGAGGCUGAGGCAGGAGAAUUGCUUGAACCCGGGGGGUGGGGGUGGAGAUUGCAGUGAGCCAACAUUGUGCCACUUCACUCCAGCCUGGGCAUAAGAGCGAAACUCCAUCUUGGGGGAAAAAAAAAAGAGAGAGAGAGGGAGGUAGUUCCUGGACCUCUUGCUCAAAAUUUGGCUGUAUACUUGGGCACUAGUCCAGGUACUGGAGAGAUAGGUAGGAAUGGCUGAAGACCCAUCAGUCAGUGGUUUGCUAAAAUAAAGCUUCAGCAUCUGAGCUUCUCAUUGGAAAAGUUAGUGAACUAGCCCAGCCUGUAGGAGUUUUAUGGGGGCAGAAGUUAGCAGAAGGAGUCUUUUACCCAAGGCAGUAAUAACACCAUAAUCAACAAAGCAAGAAGAUCUGAGAGUCAGAAUUUAGCGGCAAGAGUCCUGGGCCUCUUGCCCAGACUCUGUUCGGCAAGAGUCGAACAGAGAAGAAAAGUUCGAACGGGUCCUGAUAUAGGGAAGACUAGAAGCAGACAUGAAAAGCCAAAGUAUAGAGCCUGGGAAACAGACGAGAGCCAGGUGUACUGGGUUCAACACUAGGUAACAGGGUGAUUCCUUGUGAAUGCCAAAACAAAGUGGUUGCAGGCAGCUGCAACCUUUGUUUCCAUGCCCUUUGCAAAGGGCAUGUGGAAGAAACAGUUGCAUUUAAGGGUUAGGGAUUCUGUGACUUGGCAGGGUUGUGAGUUUCCAGCAUUGAGACAAAUUGGUAACCAGAUCUGCUGGACUAGAGCCCAAUCUGCAAAGCUCCCUAAUGCAGAAGAGUCCACCGUUGUGUAAACAGAUUCUAUCUUCCCAUAGUUCCUGGAAACCGGAUAGCCUUCAUCUCACAUCUUCACUGUAUUCUAGAGAAAUGAGGGUAAUGUGUUGGGCAGGGCAGAGUAGAGAUGAAUAGUUGGGUAUGGCACAGGCGGCUACCUGUUGUAUCAGUGGGUAUGGUUUACCUCACAUAGGGCACCUACACGUGAAGAAAUGGACAACAGAACUGCUUUGUCUGUUGGCAUGGUUGUCUUAUUGGAGGACUGCAUUAUUGGAGGACUGGUUUCCUCUUCCCUACCAGGACAAUCCUCCGAAGUUCUUUGAGCUUUUUCUACUGCCUAUUUUUGCAGCCCAGGUCAGUUGAUCAGGAGGUGUGGCCUUGUAUUUGGUCCACCUUGAGUCAGAUGCCGCUCUGCUUACUGAGUAUUUUUAUAUUGGACUCAAAUCAUGAUAUGGAAUCAUUUGUAGACAGCAGACCCACCAAAAUUCUGCUGCGCAGUGACAGCAGGGCAGAUCACGGUGUUAACUGUAAUCAUCCUGGUAGGGAGAGGGUAUUUAUAUACUAUAGGACAGAUGGAGAGUGUGUACUGCUUUCAGAGGUGGAAUUGCAGGCUACCUGGGAGGCAAUGAAUUUCCGCAACCUCUCCAAAAGCAAAGAUAGAAGACAUGCCUUUCUAUCUCUUCACCUCUGAUGCAUUCAGAGCUACAUCAUAAUGUUGCACAAGGUCCCCUUUAAGAGUAGGUGUAGCCUGUUAGAGUCCAGGCAGGGCAUAUGAACAUAGAACAAGUAACUUCUCCUACACUCAGUCGAAAGGCCACAACCUCCACACAGAAGGUGAGGUUCUUCCUGAGCACAAUAAUGUAGUUGCCAGAUCUUCCACAUGGCUGUAUCAAUGGGCUUGACUCUGGAGCCUUAGAUUUGGGCAAGAACAUUUAAUCAUCCCUUGAAGGACCACCAGCUAGGAUUGUUACCAUGAGAGAAUAUGGGGAGGAGCUAUUUAAGAGGAUCCAAAAUGAUGUGCUGCAGGGCUCCAGGCUCAUUUUAUUGUGUCAGUCUUAUUUAAAGGUGUAAGUUUCUCAAGCAGUGACUAGUUCAGGGAAAAAGAAAAAAAAUAAAGGCAUAAGGCUCAAACAAUCCUUUAACUGACCUCUAAGCAGGUAAUAAAUAUUACUACUUUUUUUCUUAUAGUUUCUUAUUUUUUACCUUUUUUAUGUUCAACUCUUUAGUCCACUUGAGAUUUUUUUUCUGGUAUGUUAUGUGAAACAUAAAUCACAUGGACACUUUUAUAUGGGGCACUGUCACGUGCAGGAUUACAAAUACCUGUUGUAUUUAUUCAUUCAGUCAUCCAUUACCAGUUCAAGGCACAUUGUUAGGGACCAGAGAUGAUAAACAUCAAAAAGAAUGUGCUUCUUAAUCGGUAGCAGCUUAUUGUCCAUUUAAGGAGAUCAGAGGUACAUAAAUUACUGUAUAUACAAAGCAGCAUGUAAAAAGUGCCAUGUGAGUGAUGCGAACAAGAAAGAAUAUAAAAUAUAAGGAUUGUUUUUUAUUUUUACCUGAGGGCAUAUUAGGGAACUAGCAGUAGAUUCCUUCUGCCUGGAAUAAGAGUUUUCCCAGAAGAAGUGUCACUUGAGAUGUACCUACAGGGACAGGUAGCAAUCUUAAUCAUGACUUGUUGGAUAUAAUGAACAGAAAUCCUCUUGUAUCAUCUCAAUUUAAAAAGGGAGCUAUCCACUUAUCUUGCUUCUAAGAAUCUAUUCUAAAAGUAAACUGGCUAAAACAUAUAAUGACCUAUGCACAUAGCUAUUUUUUAUGGUAUUACUUGCAAUAGCAAAAGACUGAGAACAACCCAAAUAUUAUCAAUAUGGGGCUAGUUUAAAAAACUAUGAUACAUCCACAUAAUGGAGGACUGUGCAUCAAUAAAAAGAAAAGAGAUGAAGAUCUCCAUGAAGCUCCAGGAAAGCUGGUUCAAAAUGGUGCUUAUGGUAUACACCUUUAGCACAAGAAGCAGGAAAGGAUAUGAAAAUGUAUACAUAAAUGCUUAUGUUUGUAAAAAGAUACAAUCGAAAGAUAAACCCAAAAUCAAUAAAAAUGUUAAACAAAUGGAGAAGGAGGGAAUAGAGUGAAGGGCAUAGAAAUAGUGCUAUGGAGAAGAAAUACAUCGAGAAAGGAGGAUAGGGAAUGUGGGUGAGGGCAGAAUUGCAAUUUUAUUAUUUAUUUAUUUUGAAACAAGGCCUUGCUCUGUCACCCAGGCUGGAGUGCAGUGGUGCAAUCUCAGCUCACUGCAAUCUCUGCCUCCUGGGCUGAAGCAGUCCUCCCACUUCAGCCCCCAGAGUGGCUGGGACCACAGGCAUAUACCACCGCGCCCAGCUAAUUUUUCUAUUUUUUGUAGAGAUGGAGUUUUGCUGUGUUGCACAGGCUGGUCUCCAAAUUCUGUACUCAAGUGAUCCACCCGCCUUGGCCUCCCACAGUGCUGGGAUUACAGGUGUGAGCCAUUGCUCCUGGCCAAGAUUACAAUUUUAUUUUAUUUUUUUGAGAGAGAGUCUCUCUGUGUCACCCAGGCUGGAGUGCUGUGGCGCAAUCUCGGCUCACUGCAACCUCGCCUCCCUGAUUCAAGUGAUUCUCCUGCCUCAGCCUCCCAAGCAGCUGAGAUUACAGGUGCCCACCACCAGGCCCAGCUAAUUUUUGUUAUUUUUGUAGAGACAGGGUUUCACCAUAUUGGCCAGGCUGGUCUCGAACUCCGGACCUCAAGUAAUCCACCCACCUUGGCCUCCCAAAAUGCUGGGAUUACAGGCGUGAGCCACUGUGCCCGGCCGGGAUUGCAAUUUUAAAUAGGGUGCUCAGGGCAGGCCUCGCCUAGAAGAUGAUGUUUGAACAAAACUCUGAAGGAGGGUGAGGGAGCCAACCAGGCAGGAAACUGCGGAUGAGCAUACCAAGCAGAAGAGCAAGUACAAAGGCCCUGAGGCAAUAAUGUGCCUGGCUUCAGGGAAAAACAAGGUUGGAUGACUAAACUGGAAUGAGUGUCAAAGAGCGUGGUGGAAAAUGAAGUCAGAGAGAUGGAGGAAAGAUUCCUUACAGCCUGUAGUCAGUUGUGAAGACUGACUUUUACUCCGUAUGACAUAAGACAAGGCAGGAUUUGAGCCGAGGAGUGACAGGACCUAACUUAUAUUUUGAUGGGCUCUCUCUCUGUUUCUUGCAUGUUUGCCAUUUGCCCCCUUCCCCCUUAUUCUAUCUCAGAACCCCUGCUUACUCAUGUUCUGUGUUCUCUAACAUCAGUCUACAUGUGGCGUUGGGUUUGGUGUUGUAACAACUGGUGACAUUUCAGUUCAUGUGACUACUAUGACCUAAUCACUCAGUCUCUCAGUGUCCCAAUUCCAGAUUCUUGGGUGACAUAAUAUUAGACUCACAUAUUAUUAGACUAACUAAUAUUAGCCCACCAUGGUACAGCAUGCUGAGGCUGGAGUCAGAAGUGAGCAGAAUCCUGUAAUAUUUCCAAGAGGGAAUAUGGGCAGACAGGCAAUGGUUAGCACAUCAACUUCAUCAAGUACUUCAAAUAUUUUGGUUUCUCAAUAAAUAUAUACAUGAGUUAAUAAAUCUAGCAUAUUUAGUAAACAACUUAUAAUCCUACCUACUGUUGUAAUGCUCAGUAACCACUUCAGAGUAACAGUAAUAAUAGAUGACUUUAUACUAAAUGAUGGCUUUACACUAAAACAGGUUUCUAAAACUAUCUGUGGUAAGAACCAGUUUUCUUAUUUGUAUUUCCAAAUAGUCUCCAUAGGAGAAUGAUGUUUUUGUAAAAUAUGCUAAAAAUGAAUUCCUUGACAAAUUAAAUUUUAAAAAGAUAUGCAAAAUUGAAAAAAUUUUUUUUGUUAUUAGAUUCAACAGACAGAAGAUUGCUACGUCAAAUUGCUCUAGGUUUCUAAAUGCUUAGUCUCAAUUUCUGUACUGAUCACACACCAGUAACAGUUCCAUACUUUAAAUAGCACUGUACUAAAACUCACUUAUCUAAAUAGUAAAUUUUAUAAUAAUGAUGGUCAAUUAAUGGCAUUUAAUAUUCUGAAUGAACAUUAAAGAAU
rnacentral:lncRNA from 1 species